AGCGAACGCUGGCGGUAGGCUUAACACAUGCAAGUCGAACGGCAGCACACUAAGAGCUUGCUCUUAUGGGUUGCGAGUCGCGGACGGGAGAGGAAUAUAUCGGAAUCUACUCUUUCGUGUGGCUUAACGAAGGGAAACCUACGCUCAUAUCGCAUCCGACCUUCGGGUGAAAGCAGGGGAUCUUUGGACCUUUUGCGAUUGAAUGCGCGGAUGUCGGAUUAGAUAGUUGGCGGGGUAAAUGCCCACCAAGGCGGCGAUCCGUAGCUGGUCAGAGUGGAUGGUCGGCCACACUGGAGGUGAGACACGGACCAGGCUACUGCGGGAGGCCGCAGUGGGGAAUAUUGGACAGUAGGCGCAAGCCUGAUCCAGCCAUACCGCGUGGGUGAAGAAGGCCUUGGGGUUGUAAAGCCCUUUUGUUGGGAAAGAAAAGCAGCAGGUUAAUACCCCGCUGUUCUGACGGUACCCAAAGAAUAAGCACCGGCUAACUUCGUG
rnacentral:rRNA from 1 species